AUUUAGCUGACAAGUCCCAGAUAGGACGAAAUGCGCGUCAAACUGGAU
rnacentral:hammerhead_ribozyme from 1 species